UGAAUAUACCGGUUCUUGUUAGAUCACCGAAGUUAAGCAUCAUUGGGCGCGGUCAGUACUUGGGUGGGUGACCACCUGGGAACACUGCG
rnacentral:rRNA from 1 species